rnacentral:rRNA from 1 species
UACGUAGGGGGCGAGCGUUGUCCGGAUUUAUUGGGCGUAAAGCGCACGCAGGCGGUCUGCUAAGUCUGGAGUGACAGUUGGUGGCUUAACUGCCAAAGUGCGUCGAAAACUGACAGACUUGAGUGCUUCAGAGGGACACGGAAUUCCGGGUGGAGUGGUGAAAUGCGUAGAGAUCCGGAGGAACACCAAAGGCGAAGGCAGUGUCCUGGGGAGUGCCUGACGCUCAGGUGCGAAAGCCAGGGGAGCGAACGGG